rnacentral:rRNA from 1 species
AUGGCGGAGUGGCGCCAGCGCCACCCGGAGGACGUCGCCUACGAGCAGGCCUACUGGGCAAGGCGCCGCGAGGAGGACACGCGAAGGCGCCGCGAGACGCGGUUGGAAAGGCGUCAGCGGAAGGCGUUGGCGAAUGCGCAGUCCGACAUCGUUGCAGCAGGUGGGCAGUCGUUCUUCGCGUCGAACGAUGAUCGGUGA